rnacentral:rRNA from 1 species
CUUGGUCAUUUAGAGGAAGUAAAAGUCGUAACAAGGUUUCCGUAGGUGAACCUGCGGAAGGAUCAUUAUUGAAAUAAACAUUUGAUAGGCUGUUGCUGGCCCUUCUUGGGUAGUGUGCACGCUUGUCAUUUAUUUAUCUAUUUCCACCUGUGCACCUUUUUGUAGACCUUAGAGAAGACUGCUGUGCGGGCCUCUCUAGGUUCUAUGUUACUCACAUACUCCUAUGAAUGUAAUAGAAUGUUGAUCUGGGUCUUUGCCCAUAAAGUUAUAUACAACUUUCAGCAAUGGAUCUCUUGGCUCUCGCAUCGAUGAAGAACGCAGCGAAAUGCGAUAAGUAAUGUGAAUUGCAGAAUUCAGUGAAUCAUCGAAUCUUUGAACGCAUCUUGCGCUCCUUGGUAUUCCAAGGAGCAUGCCUGUUUGAGUGUCAUUUAUAUAUCUCAAUCCUGCAUCCGUGAAAAAAAGGGUGUCGGGCUUGGACUUGGGGGUUACAGGCUCUGCUAUUGCAGUCUGCUCUCCUGAAAUACAUGGAGGCCCCUCCCCUGUUUUAAAGGUGUGAUAUAUCUAUCUGCAUCUAAAAUCUUGGGGGGUGUUUGCCGCUGAGGGGGAUGGCUUGUUGAUAAACUUGACCUCAAAUCAGGUAGGACCACCCGCUGAACUUAAGCAUAUCAAUAAGCGGAGGA